AACUUUCAACAACGGAUCUCUUGGUUCUGGCAUCGAUGAAGAACGCAGCGAAAUGCGAUAAGUAGUGUGAAUUGCAGAAUUCAGUGAAUCAUCGAAUCUUUGAACGCACAUUGCGCCCCUCGGUAUCCCGGGGGGCAUGCCUGUUCGAGCGUCAU
rnacentral:rRNA from 4 species